rnacentral:snRNA from 1 species
AUCGCUUCUCGGCCUUUUGGCUAAGAUCAAGUGUAGUAUAGGAUAAAAAAGAAAAAAACAGUAUUCUAAAGAAUCUAA